rnacentral:rRNA from 1 species
AUGGCAGUUAGCUUCCAUGAGUUCGAUGCCAUUCCUAGAGCUCUCGGUGCUAUUCCUAUUGUGUUCAGCCCCACUCCUACACCUCUCAGCUUUGCCACCAUCCUGGGUGAUAUGUGGCAUAGCAUUUAUCCUCGUGGAGAUUCACCCCAUUAUCAACUAUUCCAGUUUUCUGCCGGAGGAAGAAUUCUGGAGUAUGUUGCUCAUGUCCAUCUGUUAGCCCCAAUUCCUUUUGGUAAGCGUACCUACAGUUUCCACGGUGGUUACGGUGCUACUCUUGAGCGUGUUGUUCAGCUUGCCGCAAUGGCAGGAAUCACCAGUCUUCGUCGACAAGAGAAUAUGGUGCAAUAG